rnacentral:lncRNA from 1 species
GCAAAAUCAAAUAACAAAACGCAUCAAAAAUGAAUGGACAAGAACUGUCAUAUUCCUGACUUGGUACAGGCAUUUUCAAAUGUAGAAAAUGGUGGAUUGAACCUGGUUUUAUAGCUAGCUAAACCUAAACAACAAUAAAAAUGAUGAUAGCUGUACCGUCUUUUUUGACAUUUUUACCUUUAUGUCUGUUUGGUUUGUUCACAC